GACGUAGGGGACGAGCGUUGUCCGGAUUCAUUGGGCGUAAAGCGCGCGUAGGCGGCUUGUCACGUCGGAUGUGAAAGCCCGGGGCUUAACUCCGGGUCUGCAUUCGAUACGGGCUGGCUAGAGUGUGGUAGGGGAGAUCGGAAUUCCUGGUGUAGCGGUGAAAUGCGCAGAUAUCAGGAGGAACACCGGUGGCGAAGGCGGAUCUCUGGGCCAUUACUGACGCUGAGGGGCGAAAGCGUGGGGAGCGAACAGG
rnacentral:rRNA from 1 species